rnacentral:rRNA from 1 species
AAAUUGAAGAGUUUGAUCAUGGCUCAGAUUGAACGCUGGCGGCAGGCCUAACACAUGCAAGUCGAACGGUAACAGGAAGCAGCUUGCUGCUUUGCUGACGAGUGGCGGACGGGUGAGUAAUGUCUGGGGAACUGCCUGAUGGAGGGGGGUAACUACUGGAAACGGUAGCUAAUAACGCAUAACGUCGCAAGACCAAAGAGGGGGACCUUAGGGC